ensembl:lncRNA
AGAAAAUCUGCAAGAGCUACUCGCAGCAUCCUCGAGGAGGGGUCGUCGCGGGCGGGGCGCAGGCGGGCCGUGUGCACUGUUGGGACUUAUAGGAGCGUGGAGGUCAGAAAAAGAGUGAUGGGUCCCGCUACCGACUCGUGACGGCGGCUGGGUUCCCAGGGUGUGCAGUGACGCCCCCCCCCAUAUCCCCCGUCCUGGGGAAGCUGUGACCAGCACCCCUGGGAUGUGUACACCGGCAUCGGGGACCACUCUACCUGGAGCAGAGUUGUCAACGUAGAUGUUGGGCAGGGAGGCGCCAACCGAAGUCCAGGUUGCUCCGGAGCAAGAAAGUGUCUGUGUCUGGAAAGCAGGGGAAUUCAGGGCUGUUUGCACCACAGACCCCCAAAGCACAACAGCGUAAAGUGGACGGCCACCAUCCGUCGCUCAGCACAAACUGCUCUCUUCUCUAAUCAAGGUCACCAAGGAGUUCCUGUAAAAUAUUUUAAAUACGUAUAAUUGCCGCUGCUGCCGCCACCGCCGCCACCACCAUCAUUACCACCAUCAUCACCAUCAUCAUCACUAUCACCGUCAUCACCACCAUCACCAUCAUCAUCACCAUUACCUUAUCACUGUCAUCACCUCUAUCACCAUCAUCACCAUCAGCACCAUCAUCAUCAUGGAAGAAGAUGAGGUGUAGAUCACAGUGCCCCAGCCUCUCCCUGAAACCAGAUAGUGAGGCUGUUGUAUUUCAUCCACAUGUCCCAUACCCUGGGCUUUUGACCCCUGGAUAAUAUGUAGAAGGCUAUGCCAGAGCCCGUGGAAUAUAUCAAAACACAUCGCACUUGGAUUCGGCCCAGGGAAUAAGAACUCUUUCCUGAGAAACCCAGCUGAUCUGAGGCCAAAGAAAGAAAACUUGUGAAGUCCUGGGGAGAGGAUUCAGACACACAGGUCUCUUGUAUGGCCACUUAGAGAACUUGUCCCUUGCCUUCCCCAUAGAGAAAUUGAAUCUGUAUUACUGGAAACCACCAGUGGCAAUGUGCCUGCACAGCACAGCCUGGAUGUGAUUUUUAAACAUAAUCAUUUUAUUGAAAGAGGCCUCAUAGGUGUCACCAUGGGAAUGCAGAACAAAUACUACAUUCUAUUGGUUGAAACCAAGGUCAAAAUUGACAAAGCCUUCAGUCAUACUUCUGGGCGUAAAGGGGAGCUGAAGAGAAUGGUAUCCCCAAGAGAGUGAUCUGUUGCCCAGCAUGGGGGCAGGAGACAGUGAGGACUCAGCACCCUGAAGGUCUGGUGCACAGGGGUGUGUAUAAUGAUCACCACCACUUCACUCUCAACUCUUUGCUAUUCUUGGGCUUUCCUGGAGGUGAGAUCAUCGUGUCUGUGCAUUGAACUUAUUCUCCCGGAGUGCAUGGUUGGAACCUCACUCCUUCCAUUGUAUGGUACAGCUAGAUGGGUGGAUCUUUAGCUGGUAUAGAGGCCAUGAGGAUAGACCCCUCUGGAAUGAGUGCUCUGAUUGAAGGGACCAGAGGAAGCCUUUGACCUUUUGCUCUUCCUCAAGAAGCAAUGAGAAGCCACCUUUCUAACCCAGGACCCGAACACGUUGGCAUCUUGUUCUCAGCUACCGGGACCAUGAGAAAGGAUAUUUGGUUGUUUAUAGAUCACGCAGCCUCAGGCAUCUAAAACUUCGUGAAAACCCAUUAUUCCUACGAGAGGAAGGCUCCAGAAAAGAGCACAGAGAAGGGCUGUUAGGUAGCUUAGACGAACACCUAGGAGGCCCCACUCACCCCUGCAAUGAAAUGUGGGUCAUCAGUCUUCCAGCAAGGAUCCACAGUGUGAAACUGUUUACACACAGACGUCAGGAAACCAUUCAAAAGCAACAGAGAAAACCAAUUCCGAGAAGUAAAGCUGACAAAACUACUAGCAUUUGAGAGGGUAUGUGGCCAAGGAGCCAAGGACCUACAACAGGUUUCAAAGAUGGCAGCCGAUGCCCUUCACAGGGAAAGGGCACAUCCUGCUCUGUGUGGAGUCUGAAUGGCUAUUUAUGACACAGAACUGAGAGUGAGAUUCAAGCUCUGGCAGCAGCAUGUCUAGGAGACAGCAAAUGAGGAGCCACGCUGAGAAUCCGUCUGUCUCUAGGGCACUCUGGCUGCCACGGGGAAACACUCGUCAAAGAAGGGGAAUGGCCAAGAGAGAAGUAAAAGUCAGCAAAUGCAAUGAGUCUGGUCAUGAAGAAAAUUCCAGCCAGACCACAAUAUAUUCUCCCUGGCACUGAGCUAGCUGAUGGCAGAGAGCCAACCACCCUUGAGGAAAAGGAAUCGUAGGAAAGAUGAAGGACGUUCCCUGACAGAGGUGAACCUUUUGCUUUGUUACUUCAGUUGUCUCUGAGUUAAACCUGCUCUUUCCCAUGGGCAACAAUGUUUCACAGCAGUGGCGGAUGACCCUGGCUGGCCCUUAGAGCAAUUAGGAGACUUUAAAGAACAGGACUUCAUCAAUACCAAACAACAGAAUGUCUGGCGGAAUGGCAGGCAGGUGUUUUUGAUGGACCUCUGAGGGUGGUUCCAGCAUUCUUCCUUACUCAGCUUCCAGCUCGCUCUGCCACUCACUGCCUACCCCAUCUCUAUGCUAUGAUCUGUAUUAGUGCGAGAGCCUUCUUGCCCCUGAGCUGUGGCCUCCUGCCUAAAUCACACCUUGCUUGUCCAACUCUUUUCUCAAAACUGUGCAUUUUAGAGCACUGUGGACUCUUUAGCAGAACUGACCAGAAGCACAGAGCUAUCCUAUACCUCGCCUUCUUUAAACAGCUUUUCUCAUUGUCCACAUCUUCAACAGACUCUUGAACUUUAUAAGCGCAGAGAAAAUUAGUUGAGCCCAAGUGAGCAUAUACGUAUUUAUUUCUCUGCCCUUGAAUGUAGCUAUACUGUGAUUGGCUGCUUCAACUUCCUAUUUCUUUGACUGCUCCACAAUAAUGGACAAUAAAUUGAAACUGUGAGCUAAAAAACACUCUUUCCCGCCUAAGUUGAUUUUUGUCAGGAUAUCUUAUUAAAGCAAUAGAGAUAAAAUAGGAAUAAUCCCUUUGGUCAUUGUCCAUUCUCACCCUGGAGACUGCCUCAGGUUCUGCCUCCACUUGUCUUCCUCGCUUCAUAUAAUUUCAUGUAACAGAGAUCACAUGGACCAGCGAGCUAAAUAGAAAUCAGCAUGAGAUCAGGUAACACUGAGGAAUGCAUGUGUCUUAAAAAGUUGGUACCAUAUCUUCAAGACUCUUUGAGGGCUUUAAGCAGAUAAAUGGUGUGGGAUGAAUUGCUGGUUCAGUGAGAAUCCGGUCACUGCUUUUGGGACUAGGAAGAGUGGAGCCAAUUCAUUCAUUCAGAUUUAUUCAGGACAUCAGACAAUUUACACUCUGAGGGUUAAGAAGACUCACAUGAAUAUAAUGUACUUACAAGGACAAGCUGCACACGCACGGCAAAGACAUGCUUUCCCAUAGAGCCAUAAACAUUUAAUUGAAUGACACCAGCAGGCAAUAAUGAGUAUCUGAAGUAAGCUCACCCAUCCCCCACAUCCGAGGCGAGCAGGAAAACAUACUCCAGGAACAAUUCUGUGUUUUGAAGAAACUAAGUCACAAGAUUCUUGUUUUCUUGAAGUUUUCUCACAAGCACUCAGAAUUCUCACAUGGAUCUAUUCCUGAACCACAGUCCCAUGAAAGCCUGGAGAGAGAGAGAGAGAGAGAGAGAGAGAGAGAGAGAGAGAGAGAGACAGACAGACAGACAGACAGACAGACAUAGAAGGACAGAGACUAAGAAAGAUCCCUCAGGUCAACCUUUGGCUUCCACAUGCAUGUGCAUUUAUGUGCAUGAACAUCCACUGGCACACAUGUAUACACACAGGUACACAGGUACAUAUGUACAUAUCAUACACACACAUACAAUAACACACAAACAUACACCGCAUGCUGUGAUAUUUUCAACCUAUGCUAGGUGGUGCGUCCACAGUGGGGUAGCAUUUCUGCUUCAGUCUAUUGCAAAGUCAGCCUAGAGGGUCAGGGCAGAUUUGUAGACUUGAGUUCAGCUACUGAGGAGAAAGGACAGGACUGGGUCCAGGUGAACCAAUAUUUGGUGGGUGAACGGCAGGUUAGACAGGUAAACAGGCAGGGGACAACUCAAGCCACAUCAGAUGUGGGUACUAAAGCAAGAUGGACCCUGAAGAGUUGGGUGUGCUCUGUGAGUGGUCCUUAAUGCACACAGAUAGUGGUGCACCAACAGGUGAGUGGGGCCAUCACAGUGAUGAAGCUAGAUGUGGGCCUGGCACCUCCAACACGUUGUGGUCUCCAAGGCAACCCAGGCUUCACCUUCAUAGCUUCAUGCAGUGGCCACUCUAGACCUCAAUUCAGAGAAACCCCUGACAUACACCUGGCCUCAGAGGCUUUCUCUAGUUGUGGGGGGAGAGUCUAUAACUCCUUUCUUCUAUCCUUGAUUCUAAAGACAGAGCCAUUAGCCAAAGUUGCCAAGUUCUGCUGCUUGCUGGACCUGGACCUUUUUCAAUUACACCUUUAUCAGCUUUGUUUUCAAUGGCUUCCUUCACAGCCUAAGCUUAGCCGUUCUGAAACUCACUCUGCAGACUAGGCUGGCCUAGAACUUAGUCUUCUUACUUUCUGAGUUCCUGGAUUAAAGGUGUGCACCACCAGGCCUGGCCCUAAGCUUUUCUUUAAUUCCUUUUCACUUUUGUCUUACUUAGGGUUCUAUUUUUGUGAAGAGACACCAUGACCAUGGCAACUCUUACAACGGCAAACAUUUGAUUGGGGUGGCUUGCAGUUUCAGAGGUUGAGUCCAUUAUCAUUAAGGUGGGAAACAUGGCAGUGUCCAGGCAGAUGGUGCUGGAGGAGCUGAGAGUUCAUCUUGAUCCACAGGCAGCAGGAAAGAGAUUGACUUCUGCGAUUGCAAAGCCCACCCCCAGUAACAAGCCUCCUCCAACAAAGGCCACACCUCCUAAUAGUGCCACCCCCAAUGGAUCUAUGAUUUUAUUCAAAACACCAAAGAUGUCUUCCUCCUUACGGAGCCAGGAUGAGAGAAUUGGACCCUUUCCUCAGCCUGAUGAGCUAAGUCCUCGGGCCUGUUUUUCCUGAUAAGAUUUUAAGAUGCCAUGUGCUCCUUUCUUUCUUUUUUUUUUUUCUUUCAUUUUUUCGGAGCUGGGGACCGAACCCGGGGCCUCUACCACUGAGCUAAAUCCCCAACCCCGUCAUGUGCUCCUAAAUCUCAAUUCACCUUGGUAAGCUGAUAUGUGGCACUCUCUUCUAGAAAUCAGUGUUUGAUCAGUCUGUGCUGCAUGGGUGUGCCUGGAAAAUGGUGCUGGUUAUGUGCCUAUCCAGUUGUGGACUCAGUCAUCCUUUAUCCUCAAAACAGACCCAAAUCUGCUCUUCUGAGGACAAGUACAAUCUAAAAAGAAAAAGCCAUCAGUUUAUGCAAUAUGCUCUCAACGCCACCUCCAACCUCAUUUGUCCAGUUUGUAAGACAGACAGACACACAGACCGACAGAUAUAUGUUACGUUCCUAAAGUCAAAAGAUACUACCUUAUAUAGUUAGCAGUUCAAAAUGGAACUGCAGUGUCCUAUGCAUUUAGCAAGAUGACGGGGCCGUGUGCGCACUUGCACAUAUUAAAACCCGAUCAGGCAAACAGACCCAAGAACUUGUGAACACAGUAGACUGAGAAUAGAACAUCUUUCCCUGGACCCCACAAGCAGAGGACCCGAAACACUGAGAUGGUGAUGGCCCAGCAACCUGUUACCGGACCUCCAAGUGUGAG